GAAGACUUCACACGAUUCUGGAACGAAUUCUGGAACUUUCCUAAAUGGAAAGUUGCUACGAUAAUGUUAAUUAUGUCUUUAAAUGUGGUUAAUGGCGAGUUUUACCAGCUAGUUUAGGAGUUAUUACAGUCUACAGAAGGAGGAGAGAGACAUUUGACUUCAUUAGACAGAGAGGGACAGGUAACUCUCCGUGGACCAGGUGAGGAGCAGAUGUCUCAGCUUCGGUCUGAACCAGUGGCACUGAACCAAACCUGUCCACCAUGUCGGUCUGACUGAACUCCACCAGCAGCCUGUAUCCACCAUUCCUUCAGUGUUUCCCUCAAGCUUCAUAGACUCGUGAAGAUCCUUGAAGAUGUUUCAUCUCCCAUUCAAGAGGCUUCCUCAGUUUUGACUGGGUGGUAGGGAAAUCUCAGGUAUCUAACCUCCAUGGGGUCGUUAUCAAGGCCAUUGAUGUCAUUUGGUUUGUUGAUUACAACUUUAACGACUGUUGUAACGGCAGUCUUUAGAGUUGUCACAUGAGGUCAGGUGUGAGUGGUUGUGAUGCUAACAGGAUGCCAAUCGCGAUAACUGGCCACUCGUCAUUGUGGUUGUUGUAACUCUGCACUGGGUGGUUGGAUGUGGUCAAGGACAGGCCUUCACCACUCCUCGUUAGUAUAGUGGACAGUAUCUCCGCCUGUCACGCGGAAGACCGGGGUUCGAUUCCCCGACGGGGAGUAAUGCUUCUUUUCUACGGUAGUAAUUGUACUGAGGUUUUAAAAAUAUUUUUGGCCCUCAAAAAACUAUUAUGUUGUUAUUAAGGUAUCAAGGUGAGAAUGAUUGACUGAAGUAUAUUCUAACAAUCUAUAGAGUCUUUUAACAUGAAUAUAACAAAAGGCUUCAGCUAUCAUUACCAUUUCUAUAUUUGCCAAAGAAAAGGAUUUUUAUACGUGCUAAUGUUCUCAAUACAAUAGCCCGAAUGAGUGCAGAGGUCGCAGUGUCUUUGACCCCAGUGCUGGGCUGUCAUCCGUUGCAGUUUCCGUAGUGUAGUGGUUAUCACGUUCGCCUCACACGCGAAAGGUCCCCGGUUCGAAACCGGGCGGAAACAUGGAUUUUCCACCUCUCCAUGUUGAUGAAGGGAUCGAAUCUGACGGCUUUAAGAUUUAAUGAUUUGAACUUGACUGUAGAUCCUUGAAUUGGUUUCAUCUCUGAUCCAAAAUCAUUAACUCUUACAGUGUGUUUACUGUCAUAGUCAGUCAGAUGACAGAAACGUGUGUGAACUGAAGUGAAGUAAAAAAACGCUUGUUUCCGCCCGGUUUCGAACCGGGGACCUUUCGCGUGUUAGGCGAACGUGAUAACCACUACACUACGGAAACUGCACAAAGGCCAACAAGAGUCAUGAAAAUAAAAUA